rnacentral:rRNA from 1 species
GCAGCAGUGAGGAAUAUUGGUCAAUGGGCGAUAGCCUGAACCAGCCAAGUAGCGUGAAGGAUGACUGCCCUAUGGGUUGUAAACUUCUUUUAUAAGGGAAUAAAAUGGGGAACGUGUUCCCAUUUGCACGUACCUUACGAAUAAGGAUCGGCUAACUCCGUGCACGCAGCCGCGGUAAUACGGAGGAUCCCAGCGUUAUCCGGAUUUAUUGGGUUUAAAGGGUGCGUAGGCGGAUUGAUCAGUCAGUUGUGAAAGUUUGAGGCUCAACCUUAAAAUUGCCUUUGAUACUGUCAUUCUUGAGUGUACGAGAGGUGGGCGGAAUUCGUGGUGUAGCGGUGAAAUGCUUAGAUAUCACGAAGAACUCCGAUUGCGAAGGCAGCUCACUGGGGUACAACUGACGCUGAGGCACGAAAGUGUGGGUAUCAAACAGGAUUAGAUACCCUGGUAGUCCACACAGUAAACGAUGAUUACUCGCUGUGUGCGAUACACCGUAAGCGCCGAAGCGAAAGCGAUAAGUAUUCCACCU